rnacentral:rRNA from 1 species
GAUGAACGCUGGCGGUAUGCUUUACACAUGCAAGUCGUACGAGAGUUUUUAACUCUAGUGGCGGACGGGUGAGUAACACGUAAGAAUUUGCCUUUAGGAGGGGGAUAACAACUGGAAACGGUUGCUAAUACCCCAUAUGCUUUCGAGUGAAAUGGAUUUCCGCCUAAAGAGAAGCUUGCGGCUGAUUAGCUUGUUGGUGAGGUAAUGGCUCACCAAGGCGACGAUCAGUAUCUGGUUUGAGAGGACGAUCAGACACACUGGAACUGAGACACGGUCCAGACUCCUACGGGAGGCAGCAGUGGGGAAUUUUCCGCAAUGGGCGAAAGCCUGACGGAGCAAUACCGCGUGAGGGAUGAAAGCCUAUGGGUUGUAAACCUCUUUUUUCAGGGAGGAACAAAAUGACGUGUACCUGAAGAAUAAGCAUCGGCUAACUCCGUGCCAGCAGCCGCGGUAAGACGGGGGAUGCAAGUGUUAUCCGGAAUCACUGGGCGUAAAGCGUCUGUAGGUGGUUAAGUAAGUCAA